GAUUGGUGAUUGAGGAUCCAUACAGAGUUUUAUGAAAUAUCUUAGAGAUCAAAGAACAGAUGCUUUCUUCAGGAAAUAUGAAUACUUUCAAGUAGGAACAAGCCCUUUUUUGGCGUUGAAUCGGGUCAGGAAGAACAAGUUGUUCCAGCUCCGGAAUAACACCCAAAAUCAGAAUAUCUGUAGAUCAAGGGAUUGCAUAUGUGUUGAUGCUGGUGGCUUUAGUUCUAACAUAUCUCAUUCAUCCUAUGGAUGCUUCUUCCUACAACUUAUUCUAAAUUCAGUCAGUUAUAAUCUUUAAAUUAUGUUGCUUUUUGGGGAAAUGGUUGUAAUCAUUCUUCAUAUGGAUUUAAUUGAUUAAUCAAUUCAUGUUUAAUUUAAUUUCUAAUAUAUAUUUAGUUGCCUUUU